rnacentral:rRNA from 1 species
ACAUGCCUACAACAUAGCGUUAAUGCAUCAGAUCCCAUUAGAACUUCGUAGUUAAGAGCGCUCGGGCUAGAGUUGUACUGGGAUGGGUGAGUCUUAGUAUUUUGCAUGCC